rnacentral:rRNA from 1 species
GACGAACGCUGGCGGCGUGCCUAAUACAUGCAAGUCGAGCGAUGAUUAAAGAUAGCUUGCUACUUUUAUGAAGAGCGGCGAACGGGUGAGUAACGCGUGGGAAAUCUGCCGAGUAGCGGGGGACAACGUUUGGAAACGAACGCUAAUACCGCAUAACAAUGAGAAUCGCAUGAUUCUUAUUUAAAAGAAGCAAUUGCUUCACUACUUGAUGAUCCCGCGUUGUAUUAGCUAGUUGGUAGUGUAAAGGACUACCAAGGCGAUGAUACAUAGCCGACCUGAGAGGGUGAUCGGCCACACUGGGACUGAGACACGGCCCAGACUCCUACGGGAGGCAGCAGUAGGGAAUCUUCGGCAAUGGGGGCAACCCUGACCGAGCAACGCCGCGUGAGUGAAGAAGGUUUUCGGAUCGUAAAACUCUGUUGUUAGAGAAGAACGUUAAGUAGAGUGGAAAAUUACUUAAGUGACGGUAUCUAACCAGAAAGGGACGGCUAACUACGUGCCAGCAGCCGCGGUAA